CCACUGUUCCCCUGCAAUCCAAGCAACUGUUUCUGAAUUGGCUGAUUUGUACAAGACGCACCAUUUCUGAGGACUUCUGGCACAGUGGCCUGCUCUGUUCAAAGUUCGCAAGAUCAGUGCUGAAUUGAAAAGAAUCACCACAGUCCCAGUGCAAUGGCCUGCACUGUUCGAAGUCCACAAGGUCAUGGAUGAAGUUGCCGUAGACGAAGCAAUUGAAGACAUCACUAUUGGAAUCUGCUCUGACAGAAGAUUGGGC